UCCCAUUAGUUAGUUGGUAGGGUAACGGCCUACCAAGACGAUGAUGGGUAGGGGGCGAGAGCGUGAUCCCCCACACGGGUACUGAGACACGGACCCGACUCCUACGGGAGGCAGCACUAACCAAUAUUGGACAAUGGGCGAAAGCCUGAUCCAGCCAUCCCGCGUGCAGGAUGAAUGCCCUAUGGGUUGUAAACUGCUUUUAGAUAGGAAGAANCCCUUGGAUUUAUCCGAGGNUGACGGUACUAUCAGAAAAGCA
rnacentral:rRNA from 1 species